rnacentral:rRNA from 1 species
CUGCAGCUCAAGUGGUGACCACUAUUAUUGGGCCUAAAACGUUCGUAGCCGGUUUGGUAAAUGCCUGGGUAAAUCGUGUAGCUUAACUAUACGAAUUCCGGGUAGACUGCCAAACUUGAGACCGGGAGAAGCUAGAGGUACUCCUGGGGUAGAGGUGAAAUUCUGUAAUCCUGGGGGGACCACCAGUGGCGAAGGCGUCUAGCUAGAACGGGUCUGACGGUGAGGGACGAAGCCCUGGGGCGCAAACCGGAUUAGAUACCCGUGUAGUCC